ensembl:ncRNA K02E2.16 ncRNA
AAAAUCGAAAAGAGCAUAGCCCAUCCCAACCGACUCCGAGCAUCAUAAAUCACGGGGUCUAGCAUAUCCAUGGCGAUUUUUUUGCCGGCACAGCAGGCAAAAGUCAUACAUCCCAUUCCGAUAAAGGCAAACAUAAAGCCGAGGGAAAUU